CACAAAGGUUGGAUCCUGGAGGUCUUUUCCACCCCAAAUAAUCCUGUGACUCUUUCUGUAGCACUGUGGAGCUGCUCCUUCUGCCAUGCCAACCCCUGAGACACAGAAGGGACAGCCAGGAGCACCAGGCCCAGUAAAUUCUUAGCAGAUCUGACCUGUUCUCUGUAAGGAAACCACCCCUGUGGCUUGUGGAGCUGCUUCUUCCACUUCCCAUGUGAAGGACAGCAUUACAAUCACUCUGUCAUCUCCUCUUCAAAGAUGAAGAUGAAAGAGCCUGUUCCCAGCAGCUGGAAGAGAUGCUGGCUGCACAGCUGGUAAAACAGAUAGGUCUUUCUAACCCUUUCAUGCCUGUUCAGUGAGUCCAGGUAGGUUCAUAAAUAUGGUAAUGGUUCCCAGAGCAUGUCUGGACUGGAAAUAAGAGAUAACCACAGCAACAGCUCCACUGCAGGAGGGACUAAAUCCACACUCCAGGUCAAAUUAACAACCUCCCACUCCCCCCAUUAGCAUGAGGAAAGCUCUUGUGCUCACCUGUUUGCUGAUUACAGCCAUGGAGCUGUAAGGAGGCAGCUCUUGUUUAGCUUAUUAUCAGAAGGCCCAAGCUCCAGAGAGAACACAUUGAUUUAUACAAUGGGGAUCCUGCCUGGUACUUCAAUGCAGCUGUCCUGCUGAGAAAAUUACAGAUAAACUCUUCAUUUAUUGUCCCUUUAAGGGAGAGCGGAAGAAAAGGAGAAAGGCAAAAAAAUAAGCCCCAAACUCAACAACUCCUAAGUGUUCUAAGUAUUCACAGAAAGGUUGUUUUUUACCUGUCUGUUUCCAAAGGCAGAUCCCUGAAAAUGGAAUCCUGGGUCACUCCAUCAAGGGCUGGACACAAGGACCCCUUGUUAUGGUCUCUAGCAUGGCAGUGACCUGGAGUCAUUUCAGGUUACAGCAGCUGAGAUGAGGGAGGAAUAAAACCAAAAAACCAAUGAGGGAGUGGCAAGAGGAAGGAGAUGGAUCUCAGCUUCACCAGCCAUGCCUUCAACAAAUGUCUGAAAGCCAACCUUGCCUUAAAAAAUUAAUAUUGCCCAGACCCCAGAAGUAAAAAUCAAGCAGUACAUUCAAGCUGCCAGGAGUCUUCAUUGGGCAUGCUGAGUUCCUGGAUUUGGGCAAGACUGACAACAAAAACUGGGGAAAGGAGUCACUGAUUCCCUUGUAGCUCCUGGAAGCACAAAGCCUGUUAAGCAGGGAUGGAUUUAGAGGGUGAGGGACGCCACA